UACGAAGGGGGCGAGCGUUGUUCGGAUUUACUGGGCGUAAAGGGCGCGCAGGCGGUCUUGAAAGUCAGGCGUGAAAGCCCUGGGCUCAACCCGGGAAUUGCGCUUGAGACUGGUGUGCUCGAGUACGGGAGAGGAUAGUGGAAUUCCCAGUGUAGAGGUGAAAUUCGUAGAUAUUGGGAAGAACACCAGUGGCGAAGGCGGCUAUCUGGACCGUAACUGACGCUGAGGCGCGAAAGCGUGGGGAGCAAACAGG
rnacentral:rRNA from 1 species